rnacentral:rRNA from 1 species
GAUGAACGCUGGCGGCGUGCCUAAUACAUGCAAGUCGAGCGAACGGACGAGAAGCUUGCUUUUCUGAUGUUAGCGGCGGACGGGUGAGUAACACGUGGAUAACCUACCUAUAAGACUGGGAUAACUUCGGGAAACCGGAGCUAAUACCGGAUAAUAUUUUGAACCGCAUGGUUCAAAAGUGAGAGACGGUCUUGCUGUCACUUAUAGAUGGGUCCGCGCUGCAUUAGCUAGUUGGUAAGGUAACGGCUUACCAAGGCAACGAUGCAUAGCCGACCUGAGAGGGUGAUCGGCCACACUGGAACUGAGACACGGUCCAGACUCCUACGGGAGGCAGCAGUAGGGAAUCUUCCGCAAUGGGCGAAAGCCUGACGGAGCAACGCCGCGUGAGUGAUGAAGGUCUUCGGAUCGUAAAACUCUGUUAUUAGGGAAGAACAUAUGUGUAAGUAACUGUGCACAUCUUGACGGUACCUAAUCAGAAAGCCACGGCUAACUACGUG